CUUCGUGUGUCAACGUUACCCUCAGCAAUAUAUUGGGCAUUGGAAACUGUAUUGGCGAUUCUACAAACUUCUGCAGCAGUGCCAACGCAAGUUCUACGACCCAAGGUAUCACGACGAUAACCAGA
rnacentral:lncRNA from 1 species